rnacentral:rRNA from 1 species
UACGGAGGGUGCGAGCGUUGUCCGGAAUCACUGGGCGUAAAGGGCGCGUAGGCGGCCUGAUAAGUAGGGGGUGAAAUCCUGCGGCUUAACCGCGGGGCUGCCUUCUAAACUGUCAGGCUGGAGCACAGUAGAGGCAGGUGGAAUUCCCGGUGUAGCGGUGGAAUGCGUAGAGAUCGGGAAGAACAUCAGUGGCGAAGGCGGCCUGCUGGGCUGUUGCUGACGCUGAGGCGCGACAGCGUGGGGGAGCAAACAGG